GCCAUCUUUGACGCUGGCAGUCUUGGUUUUCUGCUAGUGCUGCUGCUGCUGGGAGGACGACGGACGGCAGCGGCCAAGCAAGAAGAAAGACGUGGCAGCAAGCGGGAGUCGGGGAUAGUGUCAUCGGUUCGAUUUGGGGAUAUUCCCUGCCCAAAAAAUUCCUGGAAAAUUGACUAGUAUUAAGUGUGAGUAAAAGGUGUCCACUUUUUUUUAAGUUUUGAUUUUAGUUUUGUCUUGGAUAGUAUUUGGCAAGAUUUAGCCUAGAAAUUAUGUAGUAUUUAUUACAUAAGAAUCAAAAUUGCUUUGUUACUGGGCUGGUUUCAAAGUUUAGAACUCAUUUCUAUGUAUCAAAAUCGGGUUUUUUUUGGUUUUGAUUUUUUUUUUUUUUAAAUUCUUAAAUGGUAAAUAUGCCAUUGUGAAAUGAAAUCUCAACUCCAAAAGUUUACCCUUUUACUAACUGGAGUAAAUGUAUACUUACAAAGUCUUUAGCUGUAGCCAUUAGUAGUAAAGAAUUUGGACCUAGGCUGCGUAAGCAAGCCUUUCCAGGGCCACUAUUUAAUGGCAAACCAGUGAUACUGGUGUUGAUACAAAAUAAGAAAUAAAUUUUCCCUUAGAUAAAGCUUUCUGUGUUUUGACAGUGCCAGUUUAGAAUGGCUAUAAUGCUGCUCUGCCUUCUACAGCUUGCUGCACCACUCUGUAGUUACUCUAUUACCAUACGUUUCUAUCUUUUUUGGUUAAACACUCCCUGAUGACGAUGAUGGAUAUAUAUACAUACAUCCAUAUUAUACAUAAUGAUAUAUGUGUAAGGAUUUACCUUCGUCUUUAUUUUGUGGGCUGGGC
rnacentral:lncRNA from 1 species